GAAGACGAGGCCUUGGAGGAGCGGGAUGUGCCUGGGAGAGGUGGUCACCUACCGGGGUCACUGGGCAGCUUUGCAGAGAGCUCAGCGUGGUGCUUGUCACUCCUCGUUUAUGUGGUUGCUCCAUUUACAUUCCCCCAGUGGUCCAGGCA
ensembl:lncRNA novel transcript